rnacentral:rRNA from 1 species
ACUCCUACGGGAGGCAGCAGUGGGAAUCUUGGACAAUGGGGGCAACCCUGAUCCAGCCAUGCCGCGUGAGUGAUGAAGGCCUUAGGGUCGUAAAGCUCUUUCGCCUGUGGAAGAAUAAUGACGGUACGCAGGUAAAGAAACCCCGGCUAACUCCCGUGCCAGCAGCCGCGGUAAUACGGAGGGGUUAGCGUUGUUCGGAAGUUACUGGGCGUAAAGCG